GAUGAACGCUGGCGGCGUGCCUAAUACAUGCAAGUCGAACGCUGGAGAUCUAGCUUGCUAGAUCGAAGGAGUGGCGAACGGGUGAGUAAUACAUAAGCAACCUACCCACGAAGACUGGGAUAAUCUCUGGAAACGGGGACUAAUACCGGAUAGGUAAUCGGAAGGCAUCUUCUGGUUAUUAAAGGUUAAAAACACUGGUGGAUGGGCUUAUGGCGCAUUAGUUAGUUGGUGAGGUAACGGCCCACCAAGACGAUGAUGCGUAGCCGGCCUGAGGGGGUGAACGGCCACAUUGGGACUGAGACACGGCCCAGACUCCUACGGGAGGCAGCAGUAGGGAAUUUUCGGCAAUGGGGGCAACCCUGACCGAGCAACGCCGCGUGAGUGAAGACGGCCUUCGGGUUGUAAAGCUCUGUUGUAAGGGAAGAACGGUAGAUAGAGAAUAUCUAAGUGACGGUACCUUACCAGAAAGCCACGGCUAACUACGUGCCAGCAGCCGCGGUAAUACGUAGGUGGCGAGCGUUAUCCGGAAUUAUUGGGCGUAAAGGGUGCGUAGGCGGCCUGUUAAGUAAGUGGUUAAAUUGUUGGGCUCAACCCAAUCCAGCCACUUAAACUGGCAGGCUAGAGUAUUGGAGAGGCAAGUGGAAUUCCAUGUGUAGCGGUAAAAUGCGUAGAUAUAUGGAGGAACACCAGUGGCGAAGGCGGCUUGCUAGCCAAAGACUGACGCUCAUGCACGAAAGCGUGGGGAGCAAAUAGG
rnacentral:rRNA from 1 species